CUUAAUAAAGGGCGACCAGUGGUUGCUGGCAUUCCAGGGGGCAGUUCAUCACACAUACUAUGCACCACAAGUGAUGGUGAAAAAAGGGUGACAUAUACUGAUGGACGGAUUGUAUUAUUGGACUCUCCAGAAAGAACACAGUCUGUCACAGUUGAUGAAGAUGA